AGGGCCAUAGCUCAGUGGUAGAGCGGGAGUCUCCAAAGCUCCGCGUCGGGAGUUCAAUCCUCUCUGGCCCUG
rnacentral:tRNA from 1 species